GCUCCGGAGGGGCCUCCCGACCCCGGUGCGUCCACCUCACAGGCUCGUCUUCAAUUCCUGUGUCGGUGGACAGCGACCGCCCGACUUGUGCGUUACACAGACGAGAAUCAGGAAGCGUCGUGUGUGCAGGUCCCUCCACGUGCAGCCGUGUCAGGGCCUCACUCCUCUUCAUGGCUGCGUCGUGCUCCAGGCUGUGGACGUAGGAAGGUAACUUCGGAUGCAAACCUGUGUUGGGACAGGCGGCCGCACGCUGACAGCACACCCCACCUGGGGUGUGGACAGACCUCGCUGUGAGUGUCCAUCAUCCAUGGCUGGAUGCUCGGGGUGCUUCCCCCUUUCCUGUGAAUCACGCUGCUCUGGACACAGGUGCGCGGAUCUCUCCAUGUCCCGGAUUUCAAUUCUUUUCGGUCUACACCCAGGAGUGGAACUGCUGGCUCACGUGGUGGUUCUUUGUUUGACUUCUGAGGACCCACCGUCUUGUUUCCCAGGGGGGCUGCCCCGUGAACACCCCCACCAGCCGUGCAUGAGGCUGCGGUCCCUCCUCCUUCGAGCGCCAGCACCUGAGUCGGCUUCGCGUGGUCGCUGAGCUUUAUCUGCCAUUUUAUAAUAAACGUGGGGACUGGCCUGCGGGGGGUCUAGAGAGGCUAUCGGGUGGGGCUCCCUGUUGGAGCUCCCAUGUGAGGCAGCUGGUCCUUGUCCGUGUCCCUGGCCUGGUGGCCCUCCUGGCGCCGUGUGCCCAGAUCUGUCCCGAGUGCCUGAGUUAGCGGUUUUCUGGGGCUGCUGUGGCAAAUGACCACAGACGGGGCGGCCUCAAAGAACAGGAAUUUAUUUCCUCACCGUUCCGGAGGCCAGAAGUCCCAAAUCAAGGUGUCACAGGGCCACACUCUCUCAGGAGGCUCCAGGGGAGGGUCCUUCCUGCCUCUUCCAGCUUCUGGUGGUCGCUGGCAAUCGGCGUCCCUCGGCUCGGGGACGUGUCCCUCCAAACUCUGCCUCCGUCGUCACGCGGCCGUGUCCCUGUGUGUCUGCGUUCAAAUUCCCCUCUUCUUAGAAGGACACAGUCGUGGAUUAGGGCCACCCCGCUCCAGGACGAUUUCAUCUUCCCUCCAUCAGAUCUGCAAAGACUCCAUCUCCAAAUCAGGUCGCAUCUCUUCUAGAGAUUAGAAAUAAUUUGUGAAUCGGCAGAGACCGACAGCCCGGGAGAAGGAGCGAGGCCACAACGACGACGCGGGUCUCGACGGGAGAAAUGCUACGGCCCGGAGGGGCCGUCGGCCCCGAUAAUCAAGGAAUUCACCCAAAAGGAGAUGCCUUUUGUUUGUUUUUUGGGACGGCCUGCGCGACGGAUAGAGAUUUAAAUUGGCUACAAUGUAUACAUCCUUCAUAUAUUGUAUAUGAUACAUAUUGGUCAAAAAAGAAAAGCUUAAUUUUUUUUACCAAUGGUCUGAAUCAUCUAUUUUUAAAACGUUAUGCUAAGUAAAAUCAGUGAGUCAGAGAAAG
rnacentral:lncRNA from 1 species